rnacentral:rRNA from 1 species
ACGGCUUCAGUAACACGUGGACAACCUACCNUGAAGAGGGGGGAUAACCCCGGGAAACUGGGGAUAAUACCCCAUAGACUAUGGAUGCUGGAAUGCUCUGUAGUUCAAAGGUCCGCCGCUUCAANGAUGGGUCUGCGGCCGAUUAGGUUGUUGUUGGGGUAACGGCCCAACAAGCCUGUAAUCGGUACGGGUUGUGGGAGCAAGAGCCCGGAGAUGGAUUCUGAGACACGAAUCCAGGCCCUACGGGGCGCAGCAGGCGCGAAAACCUUGCAAUGCGAGAAAUCGUGACAAGGGAACUCCGAGUGCCUGUAAAAUCAGGCUGUCCGCCAGUGUAAACAACUGGUGAAGAAAGGGCCGGGCAAGACCGGUGCCAGCCGCCGCGGUAAUACCGGCGGCUCGAGUGGUGGCCACUAUUACUGGGCUUAAAGCGUUCGUAGCUGGUCUGUUAAGUCUCUGGGGAAAUCUUCCGGCUUAACCGGAAGGCGUCUCAGGGAUACUGGCAGACUAGGGACCGGAAGAGGUGAGAGGUACUCCAGGGGUAGGAGUGAAAUCCUGUAAUCCUUGGGGGACCACCUGUGGCGAAGGCGUCUCACCAGGACGGCUCCGACAGUGAGGAACGAAAGCUGGGGGAGCAAACCGGAUUAGAUACCCGGGUAGUCCCAGCUGUAAACGAUGCGCGUUAGGUGUAUCGGUGACCACGAGUCACCGAGGUGCCGAAGAGAAAUCGUGAAACGCGCCGCCUGGGAAGUACGGUCGCAAGGCUGAAACUUAAAGGAAUUGGCGGGGGAGCAC